CAAUGGAGUAAUAAAUGUUAAAAAGAUAAACAAGAUAAUUAGUGGGAAAGUUGACGAAAACUCUUAUGACAAGUCUUACUGGAAAAAGUUGGCAAAUGAAUGUGAUUAAAUGUGGAGAAAAUAAUUAUAAAUUAGAACUAAUUCUUAAUUAAUAAUCAAAUAAAUCCAAAUUUUCA